rnacentral:rRNA from 1 species
GAUAAACGCUGGCGGCGUGCUUAACACAUGCAAGUCGAACGGAGUGAUUCUCCCGAGGAUUGAGGAAGCUUGCUUCUGAUUGACUCAUUUGAAUCACUUAGUGGCGGACGGGUGAGUAACGCGUGGGAAACCUGCCCUAUACUGGGGGAUAGCAGUUGGAAACGACUGAUAAUACCGCAUAAGCGCACAGCUUCGCAUGAAGCAGUGUGAAAAACUCCGGUGGUAUAGGAUGGUCCCGCGUCUGAUUAGCUAGUUGGUGAGGUAACGGCCCACCAAGGCAACGAUCAGUAGCCGGCCUGAGAGGGUGUACGGCCACAUUGGGACUGAGACACGGCCCAAACUCCUACGGGAGGCAGCAGUGGGGAAUAUUGGACAAUGGGGGAAACCCUGAUCCAUGACGCGCGCGUGAACGAAGAAGUAUUUCGGUAUGUAAAGUUCUAUCAGCAGGGAAGAUAAUGACGGUAC